rnacentral:RNase_P_RNA from 1 species
AAAGGAUGAAACGUUGGCGUAAAAGCCCACCACGUAACGCGCAACCGGACCGGCAAGGCAAGCCCCACCGUGAGCAAUGCCUAAUAGGGGCCUCUCGCGAGCAUGAUCGGCCUUCCCGAUAUCGCCGCAGGGACAUCUCAGCCCAGAGGCCCGGGUUGGCAGCUCGACCCCGCCGGCAACGGACGGGGCAGAUGAAUGGUCGCCGCCGGGGCAACCCGGCACAGAAUCCGGCUUACAGGCCAUCCGCGCGC